ACGGAUGACGGAGCGACUAGACAGGCAUGAUCGCCGUCUUCGGGCGAUGGAAGAACACUUCAACAUCCGCCGGUCGCCUACUCCGACACCUCAUCAGGAGGAGGGCCAUAUUGGUACCUCACAGGGUCCUCAUGGAGCGGAGGAGGCAAUAGACCCUCGUUCCGAGCAGCCAUGACGCUCCGUAGCGGCUUGGAUCUUUU
rnacentral:lncRNA from 1 species